rnacentral:rRNA from 1 species
CCUACGGUCGGCUGCAGUGAGGAAUAUUGGUCAAUGGCCGGAAGGCUGAACCAGCCAAGCCGCGUGAGGGAGGAAGGCGCAGAGCGUCGCAGACCUCUUUUGCCGGGGGACAAAAGGCCGGACUCGUCCGGUCCUGAGGGUACCCGGAGAAAAAGCAUCGGCUAACUCCGUGCCAGCAGCCGCGGUAAUAGGGGGGAUGCGAGCGUUAUCCGGAUGUAUUGGGGUAAAAGGGUGCGCGGGCGGGCCUUUAAGCCGGCGGUGAAAUCCCGGGGCUAAACCCCGCCGAGCCGUCGGAACUGGGGGCCUUGAGUGCGGCGGAGGCAUGCGGAAUGCGCGGUGUAGCGGUGAAAUGCAUAGAUAUCGCGCAGAACCCCGAUUGCGAAGGCAGCGUGCCGUGCCGCCACUGACGCUGAGGCACGAAAGCGCGGGGAUCGAACAGGAUUAGAUACCUGAGUAGUC